UGAACAUAUUUAUUCCAAUUAUAUGGACUCAAAGCAGUGGUUACAAGAUAUGGAUGUGCUUGAGAUGAUUCUGAAUAAGUUCAGCUCCUCAGUAAGUGUAUCAUGACUUAUGAGCAACAAUCUUUGAUCUGAUUAAAGUUUAACCUCCUGGAAUUGAAUAUAUAUAUUUUUUAAAGUCUGCUACUUCUGCAAAAGUCUAGGGCGUACAUCAUACGAGUCCUAUGAUGUCAUAAUCUGACGUGUGAGAUUUGAGCUUCCUAUAAUGUGACUGUUUAGAUCUUAUUAAAUAAAACAUCAUGCUAUUCAACAUCUCAUGAAGAAAAUCAUUAACGGCCAAUCUAUACUUUAUACGCUAUACCCACAUGAAGAGAGAAAUCAUCUUAUCUUUUAGGCAAAAUAUCCAUUUCUAACCUUAUAGAAAGCUCAGAUUUCACACAUGUUUUGUAUGCUCGUGUGUGGAUAUUUAGGGCCCUUAAGCAUGUGGAGUUAGCAAACCUCCAAUAUAAAAAUAUAAAAUUACAAUAUAUGAAAUGACAUGGGUCAUGGCCACUGUCUCCCAUACACAAAAACUUGUAGAAACUGCAACAGUGAUGGGCUAUAAAAAUCACAAAGCGAAAUUGGAUUUCCCACACUAAUCUUGCUUUUCCUAAUCUCAGAUCAGUUUGAGAAAAGCCAAAGAAAUCAAGGGAUUUUCUUAUCUCUCUUUUUUUUUCAUCAUUUUCAUUGAUUUCUCUAGCCAUAGUUGUAAUGGGGAGGUCUCCUUGUUGUGAAGAACAUGGUGUGAAGAAGGAUCCAUGGACCUCAGAAGAAGAUCAAAGGCUUGUGGACUACAUUGAGAAGCAUGAUCAUGGAAGUUGGAGAGCUCUCCCGAAGCUCACGGACCUGAAGAGGUGUGGAAAAUUCUCCAGUGAAGAAGAGCGGAUCAUUGUCAACCUUCAUUCGGUUCUUGGAAAUAAUUUUUAGGCAUGGAUGAAUGGGAGCUAUAGAUUAAUGGAUUUUAUUUAUUUAUUUAUUUAUUUUUUGAAACUAAAUUCGAUUUAUUAUUGUAAAUAUUAUUCGCAGCAGCUCGAUGCAUGUGAAAGGGCCACAUAGGCAUGUAUUUUAUUUUACUUUUUAUAGGAAAACAAUCACUAGGCACUAUCGACUUCCUGAGAGGAAUGUGAAAUCAAGUGGGCCUUGACCAAAAGUCAUCAGGUGGGCCUUGACCAAAAGGGUCAAUGAUAAGGUCCAUCAAUUUAUGAGUUGGAGAGGCAGAACUCAAAAAAUGGGACUCACUAUGAGUCGGGCAUC